GACGAACGCUGGCGGCGUGCCUAAUACAUGCAAGUAGGACGCAUUUUCGAACGGGUGAGUAACGCGUAGGUAACUACCUAUUAGAGGGGGAUAACUAUUGGAAACGAUAGCUAAUACCGCAUACUAGUAGAUAGACCUGCUUUGUAUUAGCUAGUAUGUAGGGUAAUGGCCUACCUAGGCAACGAUAAAUAGCCGACCUGAGAGGGGGAUCGGCCACAAUGGGGAUGAGACAAGGCCAAAGCUCUUACGGGAGGCAGCAGUAGGGAAAUUUCGGAAAUGGGGGGAAACCUGACCGAGCAAAGCAGCGUGGGUGAAGAAGGUUUUCGGAUCGUAAAGCUCUGUUGGUAAGGAAGCGGUACUUAACCAGAAAGGGACGGCUAACUAUGUGCCAGCAGCCGCGGUAAUUC
rnacentral:rRNA from 1 species